GACGAACGCUGGCGGCGUGCCUAACACAUGCAAGUCGAACGAAGUGGCGAACGGGUGAGUAACGCGUAAUCAACCUGCCCUUCAGAGGGGGACAACAGUUGGAAACGACUGCUAAUACCGCAUACUGAAGGAGGGGUAUGCGUCUGAUUGGCUAGCUGGAGGGGUAACGGCCCACCAAGGCGAAGAUCAGUAGCCGGUCUUGGAGGAUGAACGGCCACAAUGGGACUGGGACACGGCCCAGACCCCUACGGGAGGCAGCAGUGGGGGAUCUUCCGCAAUGGACGAAAGUCUGACGGAGUAACUGCGCGUGAGUGAUGACGGCCUUCGGGUUGUAAAGCUCUGUUAAGCGGGACGCGGUACCGGAAUAGAAAGCCACGGCUAACUACGUGCCAGCAGCCGCGGUAAUAC
rnacentral:rRNA from 1 species